AUACUAGGGAAGGCAUCGAGCUUGAGGAAGAGGCCCCAUUCAUCUCCGUACCCCAGGCCCUGGUACACAGCAGGCAGCACCUUCUACCACCAUCCACCCUCCUCCGUGUUCUAUUUAUUUUGUUGAUUUCUCCUUCAUUGAAAUGUCAGCUCCAGGCGGGCACGCAUCUUUGUUGUGUUCUCUGCUGACUAUAUCCUCAGCACCUAGAACUGUGUCUGUCACCUAAUAGAUGCUCAAUAAACCUGCCAGUAAUUUCAGCAAAUGAAACGUGGAACACGUCAAGGCCAGAGGAUGGAAAAGGCUCCAGUUUUGAUAAAAGGAGGCCUGCUUGGCUUGGAAUCCUCUCUCCUGCUGGUUGGGAGAUGCAAAGAUGUUUCCAGAGAGGGGCUGAUGAAUUGAGGGGAAAGAAAUGAGCCCAGUAUGAGUCCCCUUUCAGGGCUGAGCGGGUAUAAAACCAAACAACUUGGAACCGCUCCAAGAGAGGGGAUUAAAGCAACAUGUUAUUCUGA
rnacentral:lncRNA from 1 species